CUACGCCUAUAUGAAGUCGGAAUUGCUAGUAAUCGCAGAUCAGCAUGCUGCGGUGAAUACGUUCCCGGGCCUUGUACACACCGCCCGUCACACCAUGAGAGUCGAUAACACCCGAAGCCUGUAGUCUAACCAUAAGGAGGACGCAGUCGAAGGUGGGAUUGAUAAUUAGGGUGAAGUCGUAACAAGGUAGC
rnacentral:rRNA from 1 species